rnacentral:misc_RNA from 1 species
GAUGAAGAACGCAGCGAAAUGCGAUACGUAAUGUGAAUUGCAGAAUUCAGUGAAUCAUCGAGUCUUUGAACGCACAUUGCGCCCCCUGGCAUUCCGGGGGGCAUGCCUGUUCGAGCGUCUCCAGGACGAAUCCUCGCGCGAGAGAACGCGCGGUCGUGGCGGAGGUGGCGUGCCCGAGCAGGGCGGCCACCGCGCUGGAAUCCAUGGGCGGACGCCUGCCGCGUGGCCGAGCGUGAUAUGACGCAUUGGCGCUCGUGCGCGGCGAGGCUGCCAGCCCUGGCCCGUCUGUCGGGCGGGGUAGAUCAACACGUGGGAACUCCUCGAAUCAGGUAGGGAUACCCGCUGAACUUAAGCAUAUCAAUAAGCGGAGGA